rnacentral:rRNA from 1 species
AGUGAACGCUGGCGGCAGGCCUAACACAUGCAAGUCGAACGGCAGCACAGUAAGAGCUUGCUCUUACGGGUGGCGAGUGGCGGACGGGUGAGGAAUACAUCGGAAUCUACUUUUUCGGGGGGGAUAACGUAGGGAAACUUACGCUAAUACCGCAUAUGACCUACGGGUGAAAGCAGGGGAUCUUCGGACCUUGCGCGAUUGAAUGAGCCGAUGUCGGAUUAGCUAGUUGGCGGGGUAAAGGCCCACCAAGGCGACGAUCCGUAGCUGGUCUGAGAGGAUGAUCAGCCACACUGGAACUGAGACACGGUCCAGACUCCUACGGGAGGCAGCAGUGGGGAAUAUUGGACAAUGGGCGCAAGCCUGAUCCAGCCAUACCGCGUGGGUGAAGAAGGCCUUCGGGUUGUAAAGCCCUUUUGUUGGGAAAGAAAAGCAGCAGGUUAAUACCCCGCUGUUCUGACGGUACCCAAAGAAUAAGCACCGGCUAACUUCGUG